CUCCAGCUGGGCGGUGUAGGGUGGCUUCAGGUGCUGCAAGAAGCAACACUGCGGUGGUUCCAGCUGCCCCGUGUUACAGCGGGAGGCUGUCCAUCCCUAAAUAAAUCCGCCAUGCCUGUUUGUUUCCCUGUUGCAAUUCCCCGGUAAUACUCGCUUCUGUUGCAGGUUGGUGCCGGGCGAUUUAAAGUCGUAGGAAUAGCCGGCAAAGCUGCUUAGGGCUGUGUUGAAAAUGCUGGGAGAAAAAAAGCAGUUAAUGGUGGCAAGAGACCUUUACACAGACCCCGCGUUCCCGGCCAGUGAUACCUCCAUAUUUUUUAAUUAUUGUACCCCGCUUGCCCAAUUCAGAGGAGAGAUAUCUUGGUUGAGACCUAAGGACAUAUGUUCCUCUCCUCGGUUAUUUUCAAACAAUCUGCAGGAUGUACAAGUGAAACAAGGAAUUCUGGGAGACUGUUGGUUCCUGUGUGCCUGUGUAGCUUUGCAGAAGAGCAAAUACUUACUGAACAAGGUGAUCCCUCCAGGUCAGCCCAGCUGGACAGAUGAAUCCUAUCAAGGCUGCUUCACGUGCCGGGUCUGGCAGUUUGGCCACUGGGUAGAAGUGACCAUUGAUGAUCGCCUGCCUUGCCUUGGGGGCAAACUCUGCUUUUCCCAGUGUCAGACAGAGGAUUUGUUUUGGCUUCCACUACUGGAAAAAGCUUAUGCAAAAGUGCAUGGAUCUUAUGAGCAGUUGUGGGCAGGACAAGUGGCAGAUGCUUUGGUUGAUCUGACUGGAGGAAUUGCUGAAAGAUGGACCCUGAAAGACCCUGGAAAAAAUGUGGAGAAAGGGAAGACUGGCAUGGUCUUGGAGAAGGCAGUGUUUAGAAGAUUGAUGAAUCUGAAGGAACAGUGUGUAAUAAGCUGUUCAGUCCUCAACUCCAGACAAGGUGCAAGUGAACUAGGAGAAUUUCAUGCCUUUAUUGUGAUAGACACAUUGAAUCUUUCUGAAGUGUCAGGCAAGGAAAUCUUCCUGCUACGAAUACGAAAUCCUUGGGGGAGGCGGUGCUGGAAAGGGCCUUGGUGUGAGGGUGGUCAAGGAUGGAACCAGCUAGAUCCAGUAGUUGCUUCACAACUCCUCUCACAGAUCCAAGAAGGAGAAUUCUGGGUUGAUGAAGAGGAAUUUUUCAGGGAAUUUGAUGAGAUUACUGUGGGCUUUCCAGUCAACGAGGAAGGACAACUUCAGAGCCUCUAUACAGAGAGAGUGCUGUAUCACUCUCAGAAUCUCUUUGGAUCCUGGGUGAGAGGCCAGUCUGCAGGUGGCUGCCGCAACAACAGCAGCUUCCCUACCAACCCCAAGUUCUGGCUGAGGGUCUGUGAGUCGAGUGAGGUGUGCAUUGCUCUGCUGCAGAAACACAGGAAAUACAGCACUGACUGGGCUGGAAGGAUUCAAAAUCCAACCCGCCUAGCAGAGGAAAAUCCAUCUUUGACUGAAGGCAUACAGGGAAAGAAUUACCAGGCUGUGGGAUUGCAUGUCUGGAAGGUGGAGAAGAAACGAUUUAACCUUCCAAAGACCCUCUCUGCUCCUCCAGUUGUAGGUACCGUCUGCCAUUCCUACGAUAGAGAAGUCCAUGUGUGCUGUGACCUUUCACCUGGCUUUUAUCUUGUUGUUCCCAGCACUUUUCUGAAAGAUGCAGUAGGGAAUUUCUUGCUUCGAGUAUUUUCAUCGGGAAGGAUCUCUCUCAGUGAACUAAAGCCACCACCCAUGGAUGCUGCCCUCUGUGAAGAACUCCCAGCUGGUGAAUGGGAGACAGUGCAGCUGCAUGGAUGCUGGAAGAAUGGGCUAAAUGCUGGAGGUAGCAGGAACUUCCCCUCCUUCCAUACCAAUCCCUGCUUUCCCCUCUCCAUUCCUGCAGGACCAGAGAAAAGCAGUGUGAAAGUCACCCUCCGUCAGCACUGCCUGGAUAGCAAGUGUUGUCCAAUAGGUUUCCAUAUUUUCCAGGUGCCUAACAGCAGCUGGAAACCACAAACUACUUCUUUUGUACACUUGGAGCCACUGGUGAGCUGUGUUCCUCACUGCUAUUCCCAGGAAGUCAGCAGACUUUGCAGGCUUCCUGCAGGAAGUUAUGUCAUUAUACCUUCUACAUACUUGCCCAAUACAGAAGGCAAUUUUACAGUGGUCAUAGCAACCAAAAUAGACAGGAAGCGCAUUCACAGCCAGGAGACACUUGGACAAGUAUUACAAGAGGUUUCCUUUACAACUGUGAUGAAAAGGUAGUGUGGAAUUCUGACACUGUCUUUUCAAGAAACAUCGGGAAGCCAAGGAGAAUGCCUCAUCACUUGCUCUUCUCAGUUUUAAAUGGAAUAACAAGAUGCUUUUAGCCCAGCUGUUUUUCACUGGUACCAACUGUCAGGCCUGUAACGACUUCUUUGUAAAAAAUACCUCCUUUAAUCAUGAACACUCUGAAUAUUUGGUCUUCCCACAUUUUUAGAAGGAGCAUUGUACAGCAAAUUAUCAUGUACCUCAGUUCUUCAAAAAUACAGGUGAAGAACAUGUGCAUGUUUUCACCCAAGCUAUGGUUUUGGAAGAGAACCAUAAAACUUACAUGUAAGGCCAGGUUGGAUGGAGCCCUGAUCACCCUGGUCUCAUGGAAUGUGUCCCUGCCCAUGGCAGGGGGUUUGGAACAAGAUGAUCUUUAAGGUCCCUUCCAACCAUUCUAUGAUUGCAAAAUAAUAUUUUAUUGGGGGGUAAAAAAAUCAGCCUGACUGAAUAACUUCAUGUGACCAAAGGGAUGGUGAACAUAGAAGAAAAACUGGAGUUUGUUUUUUAGGUAGGAUAUACCUCAAGAACCAACAAAAUGCACUGGAGUAGAAAAAGUUCAAGUUUGUAUCUGACACUGCCAGUUCUGCUGCUGAGCACUUUACCUUGGGCCCUCUAUGGAACCAAGCAGAUGGUGGGUUCAAAGGAAAGAUUUUUUUGGAAAUUAUUGGAUCAUACAACAAUGUUUCUAAACAGAAGGAAAUGUUUGUGAAAGUGCAUGGACCCUACUUGUGGUGAAAUAGAAAUUGGAUACUGAGGAAGUGAAAAAAAAGAUGUAAGGAUUUCCUAAAUGGGCUGUGGUUAUGAGAGGCCCCCUACUACAAUCAUUUUUGUGUGAGUGAAGUUUAUGCUACACUAUAUAAUGCUUUGUGGGAGAGUGAAAGGCAAAGGAAUCAACACUAAG